UGGGUUUCUGCGCCCACCCUGCCCUGGGAGUUAGCGGUGCACUGGGUCUGGCCCGCGGCCAUGGUCGCGUGUAUGUUGGACGCUGUCCAUGGAGCACCCUAAACAUCCGUGUAAACCCGUGUGCCCUGGCUGUCAGGGGCUGUCCCUGGGGGGCAGGCCCAGUCUCUGCCCCUCCAGACUGGUCUGCACCCCUGCACGGGAGACCGCGGUUGGGACCAGGACGGCACACGCGAGCACACUGGAAAGUGGGUGUCCAGUGCGUGGUCUUCCUGUUGGUGUCAGCCCCUCCCCACCACGCGGGUCGGCGAGUGUGUCGCCCAGCCUGAGCCCCACGCGCCUGGGGACUUUUUUGUGUUCUGGGCACAGAAAAUCCACAGAGGCCCGGGUGACACCAUUUCCCAGAGUGAGGGGUCCCCUCUGGGUCGUGUGAGGACUGAGGCGUGUGGGGCUGAGGGACAUGGUGCCCCCCCCAGGUGGCCUCUGGGUGUCUGAGUGGGAGCUGGACGGGCUUCUCUCCUCGGCCCCAGAAGUUUGGGUUCGGGCAGGUUUCGCACUCAGCUCUGCAGCCCCUGCCUGCAGCUCCCAGGAAGCCCCACCGGGCCGUGUGGGGAGCGGGGCCCACUCACGGCUGCGGGGCCUCCAGGCCGGCGCCGGGCUCUCUGGCAGCCCCCUGCAUGGGCAGUGCGGGUGUCCCCGCCAGACGCCGCCUCCCACCAGCAGUGCGCAGGCCCGCGCAGUCCCCUGGCCCCAGUGGCGCUGCACGCGGCACUUGCUCUGGACACCUCUCGGGUGGAUUGGUCGUUCAGCCCCAGGGACCAGCUGCGUGGGAGUCAGAUGGAGGGGGGGUCGUCGCCCAGAGGGUGAGAGGGCCCCGGGAGAGGUGUCCCUGCAGCCCAGGCAGCACGCGUGUGAGGCCUACAGCACCGCGGGACCCCAGCUCUUCGGGGCCAGGGGAGCAUCCUGACGAGUAGGAAGGCCCCCUGUUCACGGCGUGACCUCCCGGCCCCCAGCGCACGGUCCCGCCUGGCCUGGCGCUUGGCAGCCGGAGGCACCCAAGAGGGACUGGGGCGAGGGGAGGCUCACUGCGCCCUCGGCGGGCUGGGGCCGGGGGAGAAUCGCUGCGCCCUCGGCGGGCUGGGGCCGGGGGAGAAUCGCUGCGCCCGCGGCGGGCUGGGGCACAAAUGCCGGCAGAGCCCGCGGGGUGCAGACGUCGAGGGCCCCUGCGGAAGGGGGCCAGGCCAGUCGGGUAUCUGGCGGGUGCGUGUGAUGGGUGGAUUUAUCGGUUGAUCGAUUGGUUCUGUGUAACCCUGGAACCUCCUGU